CAGGUGUAUCCUAUUUGCGAUGGGUACUUCAUAUUGAAGAGGUAUAUGAAGCAGUAGGCAACAGUUACAGCAUCAGAAGCAUUGGAAUGCGCACUAACAAUGGUAUUUUCAGCAACUACGUAAUGGGUUGUGCCUUCAUAUUCACUUCUCCCUGGAAAAGAAAUUACAUAGUUAGUCACUAAGCUUAAUGUGACAUUAUUCUUAAAACAAAUUAAGUAAAUAAGCUUUCAUUUAACAGGAUGAAUGCAGAAAGAAAACGGAACUCACCAACAACAACAAUGCAAGGAGCAGGACUUCUGGGAGCGGCCAGCACUUCAUCUCUUGUGGCUCCUUCCUGAAUGGUGUAAACAAAGAGAAAAUUAUUUUUCAAUCUGGCUGGACCAAGGCAACAGUAAAGCAGGAUCUCUGCAGUUCCUUUUCUCUUCCAAUGCUUCUUUCCAGCUUCGUCAAAAGAACAGUACCCACUUUACUCCACGGUAUUUCAAAUGUUUCGCCCCAGUCGGUGCUAGAGUCUGCUGUGGUGCUGGCUGAAGAGGAUUUACGAUGUGAACUUUGAUGUGAGUCACUUGAAAUCUCAGUGGAACUAUGGCUUUCUGACACUCAUCAUCAUCCACUUCGGUGCCAUCUUCCUCUAACACUACUUGGACGGAUUGGGCCUCAGUCAAAAGAAAUUUGUCCUUCACUGAAACAGAAGAUAUUUUUAUUAUAAAUAGUAAUACGAGUAGUUUGUUUUGUAUUUGGUAAUGAUUGACUGCAAGUCAUACCUUUCGCAAGAAGGCUGUUGAUGGUGGAGUCUGCAAGUAUACAUUUCUUUUUCUGUCUCUGGUCACACCAUACCUUGUAAGCGGGCAUCUAUAACAAAGGAAAAAGUCAGUUAAGAUUCAGUUAAAAUAUUUUAUUUAUUCAGUCCAGAAUUGUUGACAAACAACUGUCAUUUUAUAAAUUGGUGCACAUUAAAUGUAAAAAUAAGAAAAGUAAAAAUCUCCUGAAGUAAUGAUAAUAUAGGAGUCAAUGUAAAACAUAUGUAUUAACAUUUCUAAAUCCCACAUACUCAGUAGCUAAAAGUAGUUAAAAUUGGACCAUAAUAGUAUGUUUUAAAUAUGUGAAUGAAUGUUUGCCAACAGUUUUCAGAACCAAUGGAUCUGGACUCGCAAUCUUGUCUGCUGGGAAAAUCAGUAGAUCUUUGUUGGAGGACUCAAGUACUUCGUAAACUCCAAAGUACUGAUGAUAUUUGAUGAUCUUCUCGGUGCCAACAAAAACAAGCAUAUUUCACUCCAUGAUACUCAGCUACUGAACUUGAAAAUGGGGCUUGAGAGAGAGCACCACAGGCAUCUAAGCCAUUAAUAAGCUCUUGUGAAUAUAACUCCUUUUUAAAUGGAUGAACAGCGCCAGCCUGUACCACUGUUGCAAAAAUAUUACCUUCUCUCAAAUAUGCUUGGAGGAACUGGUGACGAGCAGCAAGAGAGAAUGUUGGAUUAAUAAAAUUAUUGGUGCUAUUAGCAGCAGACUUGAAAUAUUGGUGCUUUGAUUCAAAUCGAAUCGUGCUCCAUCUGAACAGGGGUCCAAAUUUCCUUGAGAGGGCACCGAAGUGUAAAGCAUAGUGAUGCUUACACUUAGCAGGGGCACACACAAGCGCCAUAAAUUCUUGCAAUGUUACAAUCAUCUGCCAUGCCCUUUCAGUUGGAUCUUUUACUUUCUCAACCAGAGCAAGGGUUAUAAUAUGGAGAAGGUGCAUAUUGCUGCUAGCAGAACCGACAAUUUUUUUAGUUUUUGGCUUUAUCUGCCGUAUAGCAUACGAGGAACCUCUGUUGACAAUUUUGAUCAUGGCAUUAAUGUACGCCCAAGAGAACCAAUUCUUUUCUACCAAGACCUUUAAGGCCUUAAACAAAUCAAUGGGAAGGAACCCUUCUGCUACGUCAUGGUGGAUACAAGGCGGCAAUCCAUUUAUAAUGUGAAAAUUAGAGAGCCACAUUCCCACGAAUACGUUGUGCCUUUCUUGCAUAGCAAAAUCUACAAUAGUAGUCAACAGAGGAGAAGGUCUGGUUGAAACCACCCAAAGUAUGCGCUUCAAGAUUAUCAGAGCUAAUUCCAACAACACAACCUCUGAGUGUUUGAAGGACACCGUCAAAACAAACAGGAGUGCCCAAAUCAGGAACAGCAGUAGGUUCAUGAGAAACAUCCAUCAUAAAGGUAUCAGCAGACUCAGCUGCAUUAACCGAAGUACCACCAAGCUCUAGGUCACAAACCAAAAAUGUUUGGUUUGAAUGAUUUGAAACUAGCUUUGAAUGCUUUCUUUUAAAAUGUGUUGUUAGAGUAGACCGAGCUCUACAGUAAUGUCCACAAAAACAAUAAGCACUCUGUCCUGAUCUCAUAUGAGUUUCCAUAUGAUUUAAAAAUAAGAUGGGUGAACUAGCUAUAAAAGAGCAGCCACUGGAAGUACACUUAGCAAAAGUAGUAUCUUCAUCUUGUCUAACAACAUAAAAGGGCCGCCUGAUAUGACUUCGCUUAUGAGCAAUGAGGUUCUUGUACCGAGAUAAAACCAUGCCACAGCUUGGAAAGGGACAUGGGAACGUAAUAUUGGGGGUAUGCCUAUGAAUCCAUUGAUGUGAAAAGUACUUGGGAGUACUGGGCAACUCUUCAGAGCAUGUUACACAUGUGAUUGUCAUUGUCAAAACAUAAGUAUAAAUAAUUAAAAAAAUAGAUAACCUUUGCUUGGAGGAGGGGUUACUGGUACUGAGUCAACUCCACACCACAAGUACCUGAAAAACAAAAAUAGAUACUUUAAUCCGAGAUAACCCACUGAGUUGAGAACAUGAAUAUUUUUGUUUAGUAGCAUAACCGAAACUGCCAAUUAUUAACUCUGAAGUUUUCAAAACUAUUAACUUUGAACUCGGUAUAGGUAGUUGCACCUCAUUCCACAACAUAAAGCUUAACCUUCUGAACCAUGUGGUCUGUGAGAGGCACAAAGACAACUGACAAUGAAAGUAUUUACUCAGCCAUAAAUUUGUUUUCACAUGAGGUAGUAGUGGCGAUAGUAAAUUGCAGUGGCUUGAUACUUGAAAUUUAUACCCUCUUAAAAUAGAAAGAUGUUGAUUUGGUAUACUUACGAUCUGUACUUGGCAAGGUCACACCGUCGGCUCGUCUGUCAAAGUGGUCAAACUCAGCUGCUGAGCUCGCCCAGCUGAGCGCGGUGUGCGGAGCGGUUGAGGGAGGGGGGGGG